AUUAAGAUGACAAUCACCCUAGCUCCAGGUUUCUAAAAUUUAAGAGCAUUUUUGUUUGCACCUUUGCCACUUCAAAGAGUUACUAGCUUUGAGGCUCUAGUUAUAAGACAAAUCAACUGUAUUUUAUUGGCAGAAAAGUGAACAGAAAAAGAAAAAGCAAAAGAAACAGGAAACGCAGCAACAAAGAACAACACAAUGGUAGAGUCCUUUUUUUUCUUUUUUGCUUCAACUCAUUCGUCAUUCCUCUAGAUGAGAUGUCAGCUCCCUACUUUUGACUGCUGGUUCAUUUUCAGUUCAGUGAGAAAGAAGCUGAGUCAAGCCCUCUCUUUGGGUAAUCCAUGCAUCAGCACACUCUCCAACUCUCCUGGCAACCGAGAACGCACUGUAACUCAGAGCGGCAUCAACAAGCACUCCGCAACCAUCUAAAAGGACGCGACGGAGUUUAAAACGGGUAACAUACCUUGCAGAGCAAUUUCUACACUGGGGUCUGCAGGGCUGAAUCGAGAAAUCCGCACCAUCUUAGAAGUCGCAGGAAAACUAGCACCAUCCAGCAAACGUAAGUUGGGAGGUUGAAUUUCACCACGGGAGAGGAAACCGCUUUUAACCAUCAUAUUCGCAGCCCUCUACGAAAAUUCUAACACAUGGCACGGAGCAUGUGGAGCCCAGAAAAGAAAGCCUACCAGAUGCCACAGCAAUAAAUAGAGUAGGGCCUUGGAGACGAAGCAUAAAAGGAAAAUGUGGAGCAUCAUAUCUGCAGCGCCCUUCUCCAUCUGGUAUUUAGCCCACUGAAGUUACGGGAUUUUUGGAAAUUCACCUUUGUAGGCUAUCUUUAUUUUUCUUGUUUAUUUGUUCAGCAAACAUUUAAAUCGUAGCCUAAUAUAUGAGCCAAGUUCUACGAAUGCCUUCCAGGACCUCCACAGACUAAAGCUGGGUAUGGAAAUUUCAGGGGAAGAGAAAAGUUCUAAGUACAGUGUAAUGAAAGGUUAAUACCAUUUACAUCUUGCCAUCUCUUUUUACAAUAUUAAUUUCACAAAUACAAUUUUAGCAUUUCCAACCAAUAAAUUAAGCAACAGCAUAUUUCCUCAAAUGGCAGGAAUUCUCAGACAGGAAAAAAAGAGAGUAGAAUUUCUUAAGUGGGUAAUGUCUUAUUUUGCUAAGAAGGGCAGAAGUGAAAAUAGCUUUUUAUAUAUUAUAUUUCCUGUGGGGCUUGUAUUAUCUUUUUUAUAAAUAGAUAUUUUCCAUGUAAGUGGAAUUUCAUCACAUGAUCUUUCAAUUUAGUAAUCUUUCUGCUGAGCAAACUGAGCUGUAAAAUGUUGAACAUUGUUUCAUCCUACGAAGACCGCCGUCCUUUGGCUUGUUGAAUAUAUAUUCUUGUGAUAAUUCUAAGAAACUAUGACUAUUGGAUUUUUAUCCAGAAUUUUAAAGCAACAAAAAAUUCUUUUAAAUAAUGAAAAGUACAUUCCAUUCCCUUAGCUCAUCUUUUUUUUUGAGGGGGGGUAUUGCACAUUCUCUGCUAAAAUUGAGGAUGGAAUUUCUAACAGCGAUGGCACUGUUCAGUAACUAACAGUCUUUUGUGUGUGUGUGUGGAAAAUUCUAAAUGAAUGGAAAUGAUCUCACAAAUUUUAUCUUGAAAAUAUUUGCCUAUAGUAUUUAUUCACGUGUUGUCCCUAUUUUAGGAAAGAAUUUAGAAAAAUGUCCUUUUCAUAAAAAUCGAUAGUUCUCUUGCAUCUAUUUAAAAAGGAACUCCCUCUCCUACCUCCAGCAUACACCGUCAUCUCUGGGCUAUCAAUAAAGGCUCAAGAAACACUGGCUGCAUGCCAAAUUCUGGGUUAAUCGGGAAGAGAAAGCUGGCUGGCAAUCACCCUUCCUGGUACUUAUCUUCUCCUCCGCUUAUCUCCCCUGUGCUAGGGGAGCUGGAUGUCUGCAGUCUGUAACCUCUUCCUCUGAGUGGAGACAGAAGCAGGAAGGCAGGUGACCUGCACGUUCCUGUUUUAUUAUUCUUCCCCUUGAGUGAAACCUUACUUUUAAGGGGAAAUAAAAUGCUAUAUGUAAAUGAAAAUCGUCACUUGGAAAUCAUCGUUCUGGUUUACAGCACCAAUACACCUGUAAUCUUGAAACAUCCUUUUAAUUUAAAUAGUAAUGAAUUUGUCAAAAAAGUGUAGUAGGAGAGCUAUAUUCAAAUUAAGUUUACCACUGGCUUAGCUUUUCUAAGUUAAUACAGGUUGCUUAAGACAGUGAAAGGCCAAAUUCUGUGAUUCCUUCCAGUAUGUAUCAUCCUGGAGCAAAACUCUUAGGGGAAAAUGAGGGAUUCGUGAAGCAAGAUAGCGAGGAUUUUUAUUGUUGUUGAGGUUUCCUUCAGGAACAAGCUUGUAUUACUGGAUUUACUCGAGAGUGUACAACCGGCCUUGAACUGAAACGUCACCUGCUUCCAACAGGUGUGCUCUCUCCCUGGUUCACCCUAAUUAAGGAGGCUUUCUUAUAUUAAUUUUGUCCCUUAUACAAGCAUCCUUGAGAUUCUCUGGGCUUAAUUGUUUAUG